GAUGAACGCUGGCGGCGUGCCUAAUACAUGCGAGUCGAGCGAACAGACGAGGAGCUUGCUCCUCUGACGUUAGCGGCGGACGGGUGAGUAACACGUGGAUAACCUACCUAUAAGACUGGGAUAACUUCGGGAAACCGGAGCUAAUACCGGAUAAUAUAUUGAACCGCAUGGUUCAAUAGUGAAAGACGGUUUUGCUGUCACUUAUAGAUGGAUCCGCGCCGCAUUAGCUAGUUGGUAAGGUAACGGCUUACCAAGGCAACGAUGCGUAGCCGACCUGAGAGGGUGAUCGGCCACACUGGAACUGAGACACGGUCCAGACUCCUACGGGAGGCAGCAGUAGGGAAUCUUCCGCAAUGGGCGAAAGCCUGACGGAGCAACGCCGCGUGAGUGAUAAAGGUCUUCGGAUCGUAAAACUCUGUUAUUAGGGAAGAACAAAUGUGUAAGUAACUAUGCACGUCUUGACGGUACCUAAUCAGAAAGCCACGGCUAACUACGUG
rnacentral:rRNA from 1 species